GACGAACGCUGGCGGCGUGCUUAACACAUGCAAGUCGUACGGUAAGGCCCUUUCGGGGGUACACGAGUGGCGAACGGGUGAGUAACACGUGAGUAACCUGCCCACAACUUUGGGAUAACGCUAGGAAACUGGUGCUAAUACUGGAUAUGUGCUCCUGCUGCAUGGUGGGGGUUGGAAAGCUCCGGCGGUUGUGGAUGGACUCGCGGCCUAUCAGCUUGUUGGUGGGGUAGUGGCCUACCAAGGCGGCGACGGGUAGCCGGCCUGAGAGGGUGACCGGCCCCAUUGGGACUGAGAUACGGCCCAGACUCCUACGGGAGGCAGCAGUGGGGAAUAUUGCACAAUGGGCGCAAGCCUGAUGCAGCAACGCCGCGUGCGGGAUGACGGCCUUCGGGUUGUAAACCGCUUUCAGCAGGGACGAAGCUUUUUGUGACGGUACCUGCAGAAGAAGCACCGGCUAACUACGUG
rnacentral:rRNA from 1 species